GCCACUUCGGUGGCGUAGUUGGCUAGAGCGCGCGAUUGCUAGUGUCGUAACUGCGGGUUCGAAUCCCGCCAUCGGCA